AAGGAAGGGUCAUUCUGAAAUCAUCAAGAAUACAAGUAAAAAUGUUCAUCAUGAUUAUCCAGUGCAAAUCAAGGGAUAAAGGACAAGAAAAAUGAGCAAAGGAGCAAAGAAGUUCAUUGCAGACUCGUUCUCACCUCUCUCAACCCAAAGAAAACGAACUCCUAAAUACCAACUCAGUAGUAUAAGUAGUAUGACCUUAGUCAACAAUCUGAAGGACUAAAUCCUCAGUAGCAAAGGAGCUCAGGGGUUGCGGACCAACCAUAGAAUCCCAUUGCAGCAUUUGAGAACCACGGAUCAACUAUCACAAGAUAGAUUAGCCAGAGAAUGACAUAUCUAGUUGGAGAGAGAGUACGAACACCACAUGGAUGCAGGGUAGGGCUAAUUAGAGCUGUGUGAAAUCGGAAGAAUCAAAUGAAUAGAAGAUGAGAGAAAGUAUGAUCAUUCACCUCAGCGAAUCCAGGUAGAGAUCAGCCAAGAAGCUUUGACUCAGUCGCCUCGACGUGGAUCAAAGGCUGCAGACUACACGAAGAUCGUUC
rnacentral:lncRNA from 1 species